rnacentral:rRNA from 1 species
UACGUAGGGGGCUAGCGUUGUCCGGAAUCAUUGGGCGUAAAGCGCGUGUAGGCGGUCCGGUAAGUCCGCUGUGAAAGUCGGGGGCUCAACCCUCGAAUGCCGGUGGAUACUGUCGGGCUAGAGUGCGGAAGAGGCGAGUGGAAUUCCUGGUGUAGCGGUGAAAUGCGCAGAUAUCAGGAGGAACACCGAUGGCGAAGGCAGCCCCCUGGGCCAACACUGACGCUCAGGCACGAAAGCGUGGGGAGCAAACAGG